rnacentral:rRNA from 1 species
UUCCGGUUGAUCCUGCCGGAGGACAUUGCUAUUGGGAUUCGAUUUAGCCAUGCUAGUCGAGCGAGUUUAGACUCGCGGCGAAUAGCUCAGUAACACGUGGCCAAGCUCCCCUUCAGUCAGCGAUACCCUCGGGAAACUGAGGUUAACAGCUGAUACAAAACGCCAGCUGGAAUGCGGCGUUUCAGAAAGACAUCGCUGAAGGAUGCGGCUGCGGCCGAUUAGGUAGACGGUGGAGUAACGGCCCACCGUGCCAGUAAUCGGUACGGGUGAUGAGAGUCAGAGCCCGGAGACGGAAUCUGAGACAAGAUUCCGGGCCCUACGGGGCGCAGCAGGCGCGAAACCUUUACACUGCACGGAAGUGCGAUAGGGGAAUCCCAAGUGCGAGGGCAUAUUAGCCCUCGCUUUUCUCGACUGUAAGGUGGUCGACGAAUAAGAGCUGGGCAAGACCGGUGCCAGCCGCCGCGGUAAUACCGGCAGCUCAAGUGAUGUCCCAUGUUAUUGGGCCUAAAGCGUCCGUAGCUGGCCGACCAAGUCUACCGGGAAAUCCACCCGCCCAACGGGUGGGCGUCCGGUAGAAACUGGCCGGCUUGGAACCGGAAGGCUCAGAGAGUACGUCCGGGGUAGGAGUGAAAUCCUGUAAUCCCGGACGGACUACCGAUGGCGAAAGCACUCUGAGAAGACGGCUUCGACAGUGAGGGACGAAAGCUCGGGUCUCAAACCGGAUUAGAUACCCGGGUAGUC